AGGUCAGAGAUGUUGUAUGUUACCAAGGCGACGACGUCCUUCUGCCAUGCAACUGUGUGAAUAGAGACUUGAAAGAAGUAUUUAAGUGGCAGACUGAAAAUCCAGCAACACUGAUUUUAAAAGUUGAACCAACUGAAGAACAUUAUGGAGAAAACUACACAACCAGGGUUGAGAUCUUUGUGAAUAAGAGCAGCAAUGACUGCUCUAUCCUCCUGAAGAAUAUCACAGAGGAUGACGAAAACACCUACACAUGCCGUUUUAUAAGGAAUGUAGUGCACAAGUUUUAUAAAGUGAAUCUGAAAGUCAUCCAACGACCAGCUACAAGAUCUACAGCUACAACAUCUACAGUUUCUCCAGACCACUAUUCUCCAGACACUCCACCCAAGGAUUCCAGGCGGUACUUCAUAAUGAUUUCAGCAGUUGCUCUACUGCUCAUGGGUUGCAUUGUGUGUUUCAUCGGGAUUAUUUAUCUGUGAGUGUUUUAUUUAUUUAGACUAUUUAGAUACACAGUUUAUACACAGCUCAUUUACUAGUUAAGUAUAUUAUCGUAAUUUACAGUUUUU